rfam:Oryza glaberrima chromosome 7 Oglab07_0106_7, whole genome shotgun sequence.
AAAAAGGCAAACCCUGAAUUUCCGUGUCCAACUUUGAUUGUUCGUCUUAUAUGAAAUUUUUUUAUAAUUUAUAUUUUCAUUGUUGUUGGAUGAUAAAAUAUGAUUAGUAUUUUAUCCAUGACUUGUCUUUUUAACUUUUUUUCAUAAUUUUUUCAAAUGAGACGGACGGUCAAACGUUGGCCACGGAAACCAGGGUUUGUCUUUUU